UGGGGAAUAUUGCACAAUGGGCGCAAGCCUGAUGCAGCAACGCCGCGUGAGGGACGACGGCCUUCGGGUUGUAAACCUCUUUUGGCAGGGAAGAAGCGAAAGUGACGGUACCUGCAGAAAAAGCACCGGCUAACUACGUGCCAGCAGCCGCGGUGAUACGUAGGGUGCAAGCGUUGUACGGAAUUAUUGGGCGUAAAGAGCUCGUAGGCGGUUUGUCGCGUCUGCUGUGAAAACCCGAGGCUCAACCUCGGGCCUGCAGUGGGUACGGGCAAACUAGAGGGCGGUAGGGGAGAUUGGAAUUCCUGGUGUAGCGGUGGAAUGCGCAGAUAUCAGGAGGAACACCGAUGGCGAAGGCAGAUCUCUGGGCCGUAACUGACGCUGAGGAGCGAAAGCAUGGGGAGCGAACA
rnacentral:rRNA from 1 species